AAAUCUCUCUUUAUUAAAUAUACAUUAUUUACAGUUUAAGUCUUUCUUCUGUACAACAGUAACCAUAGAAAACAAAGAAAUCUAAGGCUAACUUUUAUUUUUCCCCAUACAGUGUAUUAAGACAUGUUACGUGGUCUACAAAACUGACUUGGAACGAGGCAACAUCACUUGGGAUUCUGUUUUAAGAACAAAAAUGAGAAGCUCCAAAGGAAAAGCUAGACUGUGGCAGAUCUACAAAGAGAGGUGACCUGUUUUGUGCUUUUGCCAUAACAAAAAGUCCAACAUAUAGUUUUUGAGGGGAGAGGUUAUUUUGCAUUUUAUUGUUUAUUUGUUAAAAAUAAUCUUCCCACUCUAAUUCCUCAAAAAAUGAGGGCCACUGCAUGCCAGAGAGACUGAUAUCCCAUUUGAAAUGGACAUGGUAAUAAUGCUCUGUCACAGAGAUCAGCAAACUGCAGUCCAUGGUUCAAAUAUGACCAGUUGCCUGUUUUUGUAAAUAAAGUUUUAUUGGAAUGUAGCCAUGGCAUGUAUGUCCCACUUCCCGCUACAAAAGCAGAAGUGAAUAUGUGCAACCAAGACUGUCUGGUUUCAGAGCCUAAAGUAUUGACCAUCCAGCCUUUUAACUGAAAAUGUUUACUGACUCCUUACCUGUCAAAUCCUGGAGGCAGACUCCUGGUCCCCCCCGCCACCCCCCAGCGGGCAUGUGUAUUCCCAGUAACAACCCUGCACCCUUUUUGCCUCUACCAGUUGACUGAGGGAAGUGACAACCCAAGACGGCUCAGAAUAUCAGAAGGCCUGUCAACUACUGGCUUCAGAAGGAGAAAAGUCUUGGCAUUAGAUCUCACUAAAUGGAAAGUCCUCCUCAUACUAUAACUAUGUUGCUCUAAAGCAGGGUUUGGUAUUUUUUGCAUGAGUAUUUAAGGCAGGACAAGGUUACACAGUUUGACACUGCCAUUCAAAUAGAAGAGACUAUGUUAAUAUUUCAUGUAAAGCCUUUGGGAUGGGGUUGACUAUAAUGGAAAAAUAUGACUAAGCAGAUGCCUGUGAAUAUUAUCCUUAAAGUUUCAAUGAAACUUUAAGGAUAAUAAUAUUUCUACUUAUGUGCCUCCCAAAGAGUCUGCAGAGUAAUACAAUGCUCCUCUUUCAUACCCAGCACCUUGUUCAUGUCCUCUGAGGCUACUUCUGGCAUCUGAGGCAUGGGAGAACAUGAAGCAAAUGAAAAUAAGACCAGUAUUUAAUUACUGAAACAAUUAGAUUCAUCUUUGGUCAUGGUCAUGUACUACUCUCUAAAUUUUAUACUGGUAUUUUGUAAAAUUUUCCCUGUGUCACUGGGAAUGAUUAAGAAAGGCAGUGUUUACAAAUAGUGUUAGAUGGUGGGUCCCUGGGAGUAUUCACUAUCAGGAAUGGAGAGUAUCGUAUCUUUUUAUAAUGUCAUAUAAUAUAAUGUUUAUAAUGUCAUGCCUAUGGCGGGACCAAUGAAGGGGAAAGAAGGACCAGUAGACUGAUUUAAGGACCUCAAGCCUUCCACUCAUGGGAGUUUUGAUUUGGGAUAGUGAACCUAAAGAGUCUUUUGACAGUUUCUUUUCCUUAAAAUUGCAUCUGGGUGUUCAACCUGGGCAGGAUAGAUCAUUGUGGUGAUAGCACUAAAGCAUCCUGGGAAAAUCUUGAGGAAAUAAACAUAAUUUAAAAGAAAAAAAGAUGUGGUUGCAAUAGGCUGGGAAGGGUAAAAAAUGUGUCAUGCAAAGGUAGGUAAUGAAUUAUUUAUGUAAACCCCAUGAUAUUGCCUCUUUCCCUAAUGUGUAAGACAAUGGUCCAAAUGCACUGAAGGAACUCCUGAUUUAGGAGCCAAGAGCAUGGGAAGAGCUGCUGCCACUGAUCCAUGAUGGGAACAAUGACCCUCUACAUCUGAGAGGCCACCAAUUGUUGCCACAGAUUCCCUCUUCCUCCUCAACAUGUUCUUGGCAGGUGUGGUCAAAACACCAACACCAACUUUUGCCUUUAUCCUUGCUUAUGUCUGCUCAGCCACUUUGUAGUCUAUAAACAUUACAAAAGACAGACAACUAGCUUACAAAGUACAAUAUUUCACUAAAAAAAUGUGCUUUUCUGUUCUUCCUCAGAGUACCUUAGUGCAAAAUAAGAGAAAACUCACUCAAACAUAGCAAGAGUUCAAUAUUAAAACCUUAUAUGAAGGUUUCAAAUAACUGCCAACUCAAGAGGAAAUUUGUCUAUCCCUACUAAACAGAUGUGUAUGUAGAACAUCCUGAAGAAAGCUUGACUAACAGCCCUAUUUUACAAAGUCUUUGUGUAUGUGUCUGUUUACACUGUUUUUCCCUUUAAAAGGUUCAACUAUUUAGGAUUUGUGGAAACAGAGAUGAAAACUGGGGACACCCAGAUCUGCAAUGCCCACCGAGUAAGGGUGCGGGUAUAAGAGUACAGGUUGACAAAGAACCAAGAACAGUAUGUGGAAGUAAUUCAAGUACACUAUGUGUCUUUUAAAGGAAACAUUUUCAAAAAAUAAAAAUAAAGAAAACAUUUUCAAACUGCAUGAGAGACAUGAAAUAGCACUCAGUUAUCCUCCAGGUAUUCUGAAAGUUUGGGGUUUGCUUACACCUUCUUCCAUUAACCACUUUCACAUCUACAGGAACAAGGAAACCUCUAUUUAUUUGGUCCACUUGUGAUCUGUAGGACAAUUGAAGCCUAAGUAUGUCAAAGCAUUUAGGUUAAAGAAAAAUGAGUAGCAGAGCUACACACUGUCUCAAAUUCCCCUUGGCGAGCUGGUAUUACAAUGUGGCUUUGAUGGAUUGCAGCUAUGAGGGAUUCAAAGGAAUCUAGGAUGUUGGUAGACAAACUGUCAAGGCUUUUAUAAGAAAGAUUUCAACAGGGAUCCCUGGCCCGAUUUCUAUUUCCUUGAAUAUCUUGGAAAAGACACUCUGUAGCCUCCCAGUGAGGCUCCUGUAAGUGAAUAAGCUUCCUGCAGAGAAGAGACAGGUGUGACUUUCAGGAUUGGAAAAAAACUCACCCAGAGUACAGAGGUGAGACCUCACGUAGAUGGCCAACUUUUAGUCAGUUACUUACUCAAAGAUACUUCAUUUAGUUCUCAGAGAUCAUUCUAAAUAGAGUCAAAUGGUUCAUGGGGACAAAGAAGAGUUUUAGGAGGGGCGGAAGGACAGCAGACACCUUAAGUGUCAUCCGGAAGAGCAAAUGAGAUGCAAAAGGUCAUAAACACAUGGCACUGAAAGAACAGAUAAAAGAGGAGAGGGGUGGAAAUGGAGAUUUUUGUCUCUACCCCAGGGAGGGUCCCCAAGCCGUCACUAUCAGGUCUGAUUGAUGGGAAGGAUUUUCAGAAUCCCCCAACCUGAAAUGAAGUAAAGAUGGAGAGAAUUCUCCCUCCUCCAAAGUUCUUUAGAGACAAGGAUCAUCUUUUCUUGCUGUUCCUAAAGAGUUAGUCUAUUUCCCUCUAGAGAAAAAUAUCUGCAUAGGUAGAUAUUUGCUUUGAGGAAGAGAAACAAAGCAGCUUGUUAAGAUGGGCUAUGCAAGAAAAAAAUUAUGAGUAUUUCCAGAAAUUCAUCUGCUUAAGUCUCUAGCCAAGGCUUUGCAAAAAUGAUUAUGCUGGACCUUGCUUUCCAUUCUAGCACCUUCUGCAUACCUCUGUUACAACAAUAUGUACCCACCCUGAUAGACUUUGAGCUCUUCCAAGGGCAAGAACAAGGUAUACUUUAUUA
rnacentral:lncRNA from 1 species